rnacentral:rRNA from 1 species
AUGUUUCGAGCUCACGGUCAGAUUUACCACAACAUCUUCUCAUUUGGUCCAACUCAAGAUGGGCCAAAGCAUUUGGAACUCUACUUCUAUGAUGACGAUCCCGGUUUACAACAUAGGUUUCGGCGCUCCCUGAACCUAGACCGAGAUGUCAUUCGAAGGCUUGUUGACAUCCUGAAGGAUAAUCCUUAUUCUGAAACGUUCAGGAAUCUAGGUGGAGUCGAUGACCUUGAGGAAUACCGUAUUGAACUGAACACCGACAUGAGGUUGGACCAACGGAGGUAUAAUGUGCCUAUAUCAUCGGAGGUUGCAGCUAUUUGGGUUGAGGGUAGUGAACUCUGUAAGUACUUUGAGCGUAGCAUAGUAUUGUUCGGAAACGACAGCAAGAGAUAUAGCAUCCAACCAUAUUAUGGAUGUUAUGAUCCGUUGUCUUACCCUUUAUUCUUCCCAAGAGGGGAGAUUGGUUGGCAUCCUGAAAUCCCAAAGAAUGGUGUUAGCUUGAAUGAGAUGCUUCAGUCCCGUCGCAGUGGUCGACAGAGUCUAGGUAAUUCAUAUAAUGAAAAUAACAUGUGUUAA